GUGCUCAUUUUGGCAGCACAUAUACUAAAAUUGGAAAGAUACAGAGAAGAUUAGCAUGGAGAUUAGCAUGGCCCCCAUGCAAGGAUGAUAUGCAAAUUUGUGAAGCAUUCCAUAUUUUU
rnacentral:snRNA from 1 species